GACCGCGUAGCUCAGUUGGCAGAGCAUUGGGCUAGUAUUCCAAAGGUCGUAGGUUCGAAUCCCACUGUGGCCA